rnacentral:rRNA from 1 species
UACGUAGGGUGCGAGCGUUAAUCGGAAUUACUGGGCGUAAAGCGUGCGCAGGCGGUUCGUUAAGACAGAUGUGAAAUCCCCGGGCUUAACCUGGGAACUGCAUUUGUGACUGGCGAGCUAGAGUAUGGCAGAGGGGGGUAGAAUUCCACGUGUAGCAGUGAAAUGCGUAGAGAUGUGGAGGAAUACCGAUGGCGAAGGCAGCCCCCUGGGCCAAUACUGACGCUCAUG